GACGAACGCUGGCGGCGUGCCUAAUACAUGCAAGUAGAACGCACAGUUUAUACCGUAGCUUGCUACACCAUAAACUGUGAGUUGCGAACGGGUGAGUAACGCGUAGGUAACCUGCCUGGUAGCGGGGGAUAACUAUUGGAAACGAUAGCUAAUACCGCAUAAUAUUAAUUAUUGCAUGAUAAUUGAUUGAAAGAUGCAAUUGCAUCACUACCAGAUGGACCUGCGUUGUAUUAGCUAGUAGGUGAGGUAACGGCUCACCUAGGCGACGAUACAUAGCCGACCUGAGAGGGGGAUCGGCCACACUGGGACUGAGACACGGCCCAGACUCCUACGGGAGGCAGCAGUAGGGAAUCUUCGGCAAUGGACGAAAGUCUGACCGAGCAACGCCGCGUGAGUGAAGAAGGUUUUCGGAUCGUAAAGCUCUGUUGUAAGAGAAGAACGGGUGUGAGAGUGGAAAGUUCACACUGUGACGGUAGCUUACCAGAAAGGGACGGCUAACUACGUG
rnacentral:rRNA from 1 species